rnacentral:rRNA from 4 species
CGCAACCCUUAUCCUUUGUUGCCAGCGAUUAGGUCGGGAACUCAAAGGAGACUGCCAGUGAUAAACUGGAGGAAGGUGGGGAUGACGUCAAGUCAUCAUGGCCCUUACGACCAGGGCUACACACGUGCUACAAUGGCGCAUACAAAGAGAAGCGACCUCGCGAGAGCAAGCGGACCUCAUAAAGUGCGUCGUAGUCCGGAUUGGAGUCUGCAACUCGACUCCAUGAAGUCGGAAUCGCUAGUAAUCGUGGAUCAGAAUGCCACGGUGAAUACGUUCCCGGGCCUUGUACACACCGCCCGUCACACCAUGGGAGUGGGUUGCAAAAGAAGUAGGUAGCUUAACCUUCGGGAGGGCGCUUACCACUUUGUGAUUCAUGACUGGGGUGAAGUCGUAACAAGGUAACCGUAGGGGAACCUGCGGUUGGA